UACGUAGGGGGCGAGCGUUAUCCGGAUCCACUGGGUGUAAAGGGAGCGUAGACGGCCAUGCAAGCCAGGGGUGAAAGCCCGGGGCCCAACCCCGGGACUGCCCUUGGAACUGCAUGGCUGGAGUGCGGGAGGGGCAGGCGGAAUUCCUGGUGUAGCGGUGAAAUGCGUAGAUAUCAGGAGGAACACCGGUGGCGAAGGCGGCCUGCUGGACUGCAACUGACGUUGAGGCCCGAAAGCGUGGGGAGCAAACAGG
rnacentral:rRNA from 1 species